UACGGAGGGUGCAAGCGUUAUCCGGAUUCACUGGGUUUAAAAGGGUGCGUAGGCGGGUAAGUAAGUCCGUGGUGAAAUCUCUGAGCUUAACUCAGAAACUGCCGUGGAUACUAUUUGCCUUGAAUAUUGUGGAGGUGAGCGGAAUAUGUCAUGUAGCGGUGAAAAUGCUUAGAUAUGACAUAGAACACCAAUUGCGAAGGCAGCUCACUACACAAUAUUGACGCUGAGGCACGAAAAGCGUGGGGGAUCAAACAGGAAUUAGAAA
rnacentral:rRNA from 1 species